GAUGAACGCUGGCGGCAUGCCUAACACAUGCAAGUCGAUCGGUAAGGCUCUUCGGAGUACACGAGAGGCGGACGGCUGAGUAACGCGUAGGAACACACCCUGCAGUGAGGGAUAAGACACCGAAAGGUGUUCUAAUACCGCAUACGGUCUUCGGAUUAAAGCAUUUAUGCGCUGAAGGAGUGGCCUGCGUCAUAUUAGAUAGUUGGUGAGGUAAUGGCUCACCAAGUCGAUGAUGUGUAGCUGGUCUGAGAGGAUGAUCAGCCAGACUGGAACUGAGACACGGUCCAGACUCCUGCGGGAGGCAGCAGUGAGGAAUAUUUCACAAUGAGCGAAAGCUUGAUGGAGCAAUGCCGCGUGCAGGAUGAAGGCCCUCGGGUUGUAAACUGCUUUUAUAAGAGAAGAUUAUGACGGUAACUUAUGAAUAAGGGACGGCUAACUACGUG
rnacentral:rRNA from 1 species